GUCUACUGAAGUUAUUAACAGUUAUUCUUGCUUUAUAGGAUCAGUAUGCUAUGUGGUGAUCAACUGUGAGUUUCAGUAUGUUUCCAUAUGGUUAUAACUUGUUUUUUUUUCUUCUCACUAUGUUUUAGAAACAUAGUUGGGAUGGUUUCUGUGGAUUUUUUUUUUUCUAAAACAUGGAUAAGUAGUAAACUAAAGAGUUAUAUGACAUGGAGUACCAUUUUGAAUUAGUGAAAUAUGAAAAUAGAAUUGAAACUGCUUUUGGGAAAACUUGUAAAGUUAGGAUGGUCUAGUUUUGAGACCCAUUUGUUUCCUUGAAAGCUAAACUCUUAGUUUCCCAUUUAGCUACCUAGGUCUUGUUUUUUUAGUGAAGUAGUUACUUUUCUUUAGGAGACAUGUUAUAUGAGUGCCACACAUCAGAUUCACCUCAAUUUGGUGAGAUACAGGAAUGGACCAGGACCCGAGGGGACAGAUUCAUAACUUCAUUUGACUUCUGGACAUAAAUUCAUGGGUUGGUUGAUGGGACCUAAUAAUGUUCUUUUCAGUCUCUUUUGUUUUUUCAUUAAGGGAACUUUGUUGUUGAACGUAUGUAACUUAAUUGUUACAUGCAGAGUUCCCACUAUAAUAUCUUGCUUAUAUCUGUCUUUGUUGCAUAGGCAAUGUAAAGUCUGGGUUUAUGAGAAACAUGAUUAUUGUUUUUUUAGUUAUAGUCAUUGACUGAGUUACCAUUGGAUUUUUCAAGACUGGCUAGUAAGACAGGAUUUUUCACCUUUUGAGAUUCAGGUAUCUGUGGGUAUUCCUGGUCUUGUUGAGAUUAUGGACUGGGUCAAGCAUCUUUUGGAAUCUUAAGUUUCAAUUU